UUGAAAGCUUGGGAUGCUGAAGUCAUCAAAUAACCUGCAGGACAGGUACAGCUUGGCAAGAGGCACCACAUGUACCUCCCCAAAAAUGCCCUUAACACGCUGUAAGCUGGAAAGGUAUCUCAGUAGGGACUGAAGGGUAGUUCAGAUUUCAUGGUCUAUUUUGACACAAUUGGCUAAC
ensembl:misc_RNA